rnacentral:rRNA from 1 species
UGGGGAAUAUUGGACAAUGGGGGAAACCCUGAUCCAGCGACGCCGCGUGUGUGAAGAAGGCCUGCGGGUUGUAAAGCACUUUCGGUGGGAACGAAAUAUGCCGGGCUAAUACCCCGGUAGGCUGACGUUACUCAAUGAAGAAGCACCGGCUAACUCUGUGCCAGCAGCCGCGGUAAUACAGAGGGUGCGAGCGUUGUUCGGAAUUACUGGGCGUAAAGGGCGCGUAGGCGGCCCUCUAAGUCAGACGUGAAAUCCCCCGGCUUAACCUGGGAACUGCGUCUGAUACUGGAGGGCUUGAGUAUGGGAGAGGGAUGUAGAAUUCCAGGUGUAGCGGUGAAAUGCGUAGAUAUCUGGAGGAAUACCGGUGGCGAAGGCGGCAUCCUGGACCAUUACUGACGCUGAGGCGCGAAAGCUAGGGGAGCAAACGGGAUUAGAUACCCCUGUAGUCCCUGAGCGGGCUGGCAAGGCGCAU